GGUUUGCAAGCUAAACGCUGAAAAUGUCAAGUUUUGAAGAAGAUUUGGACGGUGCGACAAGGCAGACCUGCUUGGAUGUGUCGGGGAAUGAUUGUAAAGAUUUACAAAGAAUA